UACAGAGGGUGCAAGCGUUAAUCGGAAUUACUGGGCGUAAAGCGCGCGUAGGUGGUUUGUUAAGUUGGAUGUGAAAUCCCCGGGCUCAACCUGGGAACUGCAUUCAAAACUGACAAGCUAGAGUAUGGUAGAGGGUGGUGGAAUUUCCUGUGUAGCGGUGAAAUGCGUAGAUAUCGUUUGGAACGCCAAUGGUGAAAACAGGUCGCUGGGGAUGAGCUGACGCUGAGACACGAAAGCCAGGGGAGCAAACGGG
rnacentral:rRNA from 1 species